CCUGGUCUCGAUCCAUCUCGGGAUCCAUCCCCUCCUCGUUUCCACUCCCCAGCUCCUCCCGAUCCAUCCAGCUCCACCCCUCAAUUUCAUCAUCAAGCCAACAGGCGGCCUCCCUGCGUGGCCGCGCCCCUGGCCCCGAUCCUGCCACCCAAGGCCCAGCCUCCUCUCGCUCUCGUGCGCGAGCACGCGCCCAGGAGCUUGAACAGGGGAGCCCCGAUCCCGCAGCGCCAGGCACCCCUGCAUCCUCCCGUGCUUCCCCGCACCACCGAAGCCACCAGGAUCCCGUGCCGGCGAGCGCCAACGCCGGAGCUACUCUGUUCCUUGCCCGAACCCGCAGGAGCUCCGCCCCAACGCCAUGGCCGUCCUCUUCUUCCAAGUCUGCCCCGUCCUCACGUCUCCCGCAGCCAGCCGAGCCUCCCCGCCGCCUCGCCGCUCCGAUGACCACCUCCAGCAGGAGCCUCCAUGGCGCCUGCCAUUUCGAGCUCCAAGCCCCAGAUGUCAAGUCUCCGUCCUUCGCCGUCAUGAAGGCCGUCCGAGCUGCGCCUCGACCGCCUGGUCCGGCCGCCCAUCCUCGGAUCCGUCUGUUUUUGCCGUUCCAAACCACCGCCGGGGCUCCUCCUUGUCGCCACAUAGCUGGAGGAUGCCAAGCUGCCGAGGCACCUCCCCGACACCCUGCUUCGCCUGGAUCCGUGAGCCCAUGCCCCCCUACCGCCGGCGAUGCCAAGCCCCUGCCGCUGUGCCGCCGUUGGUCAGGCCUCACCUCUGCUUUGCUAGAACAGGGAGGAGAACGCCUCUGCCUCUGUUCGCUCGGGUCGCCCGCGCUUUGACCACGCCGCCUUGUCAAGCCGCCCCUUGGGCCAGAUCCACCAACUGGGCUUGGCCCAAUUUCCUAUAACGUCGCGUUCGUGAGGAUUCGUUCGACUUCGUCCGUUUGU